rnacentral:rRNA from 1 species
AUUGAACGCUGGCGGCAUGCCUUACACAUGCAAGUCGAACGGUAACAGGUCUUCGGAUGCUGACGAGUGGCGAACGGGUGAGUAAUACAUCGGAACGUGCCCGAUCGUGGGGGAUAACGAAGCGAAAGCUUUGCUAAUACCGCGUACGAUCUAUGGAUGAAAGCGGGGGACCGUAAGGCCUCGCGCGAUUGGAGCGGCCGAUGUCAGAUUAGGUAGUUGGUGGGGUAAAGGCUCACCAAUCCAACGAUCUGUAGCUGGUCUGAGAGGACGACCAGCCACACUGGGACUGAGACACGGCCCAGACUCCUACGGGAGGCAGCAGUGGGGAAUUUUGGACAAUGGGCGCAAGCCUGAUCCAGCAAUGCCGCGUGCAGGAAGAAGGCCUUCGGGUUGUAAACUGCUUUUGUACGGAACGAAAAGGUUUGGGUUAAUACCCUGGGCCGAUGACGGUACCGUAAGAAUAAGCACCGGCUAACUACGUGCCAGCCGCCGCAGUAA